UACGUAGGUGGCAAGCGUUAUCCGGAUUUAUUGGGCGUAAAGAGAACGCAGGCGGUCUUUUAAGUCUGAUGUGAAAGCCUUCGGCUUAACCGGAGUAGUGCAUUGGAAACUGGGAGACUUGAGUGCAGAAGAGGAGAGUGGAACUCCAUGUGUAGCGGUGAAAUGCGUAGAUAUAUGGAAGAACACCAGUGGCGAAAGCGGCUCUCUGGUCUGUAACUGGCGCUGAGGUUCGAAAGCGUGGGUAGCAAACAGG
rnacentral:rRNA from 1 species